GAUGAAGAACGCAGCGAAAUGCGAUACUUGGUGUGAAUUGCAGAAUCCCGUGAACCAUCGAGUCUUUGAACGCAAGUUGCGCCCGAAGCCAUUAGGCCGAGGGCACGCCUGCCUGGGCGUCACACGUCGUUGCCCCCCCAUCUACUCCUUCGGGAUUGCGGGGGGCGGAUGAUGGCCUCCCGUGCGCCUCGUCGCGCGGUUGGCAUAAAUGCCAAGUCCUCGGCGACGCACGCCACGACAAUCGGUGGUUGCGAAACCUCGGUUGCCCGUCGUGUGCGGUCGUCGCGCAUCGAGGGCUCGAAAAAAUUGUCGGGCUCCGGCUCGGCUUUCAACGCGACCCCAGGUCAGGCGGGGUUACCCGCUGAAUUUAAGCAUACAAUAAGCGGAGGA
rnacentral:misc_RNA from 1 species